AUGGACGCUGGAUUGUUGCACCCAAGAAAAGUGAUUUUCUGUGUUAAGGUUUUUGGCUUCACAAACGAAUGCAGUGCUGGCGGAGAAGGAAUCACUCAGUUUCAAAGAAUGCGUUCCUUAAAGGAAAUGUUUAAGUCAAACGCAAAACUUUUAUUAUGAAAUUCUAAUCCGGGUCCAAAACGAAGUCGCCAAACAUAUACUCGUUACCAGACUCUUGAACUAGAAAAGGAGUUCCACUUCAACCGGUACUUAACUAGAAGACGCCGUAUUGAAAUUGCCC
rnacentral:misc_RNA from 1 species